GUUACAGCAGUAGUUAAAAGCUCGUUCAAACUCGAACCAUCCAAAAUUCUAAAACUAGUCAUUUAUCAAAUUCAAGCUAGCAUGCCUCAAAGCUGCCUACCUCUUCUUCUUACCACCUUUCCCUUUCUUUGCUUUGUUUUUAUUAUUAUUCUUUGAAUUCUUUCCCUUUCCCUUUUUGUUGGGAUUGGUUUCCACUUCCUCAGCUGCCGAAUUCCCUUUCUUUGAAUUGUUUUUCUUCUCAUUCUUUCCUUUUCCCUUGUGGCUGGGAUUGGGUUCAGCUUCCACAGCUGCUGAAUCCUCUGUUUCACUAUCUUCAUCUUCAACAUUGCUGUCGGAAUUUUUGUCAUCGACCUUCUCUUCAGAGUCAGCAACUACACUGUCGUCGUUCUUCCCUACAAGCAAGCUCAUUAGCACCUCUAGCUCAGGCCGCCUCGCCUCCAUGCUCUUCAGAAGCUCCCCUAUCUCUGCCAGGGCUUUAGAAUCAUACUC
rnacentral:lncRNA from 1 species